UACGUAGGGAGCAAGCGUUGUUCGGAAUCACUGGGCGUAAAGGGAGCGUAGGCGGAAGAAUAAGUUAGAAGUUUAAUGUACUGGCUUAACCAGUAAUCUGCUUCUAAUACUGUUUUUCUUGAGUAUGGGAGAGGGAGAUGGAAUUCCAGGUGUAGCGGUGGAAUGCGUAGAUAUCUGGAAGAACACCAGCUGCGAAGGCGGUCUCCUGGCCCGUUACUGACACUGAAGCGCGAAAGCGUGGGGAGCAAACAGG
rnacentral:rRNA from 1 species